CAGAAAUGCUGACAGGAUGACAGGAAGAGCAGGAACACGGUGCCUCAUCUUUCAAUUUUUUUGAUUUAUGGAUGACCCACAGGAUUGCUCUGAUCAGAUCAAGAUGGCUGCUCUCACAGCCCAUCAAUCAUCAUUUCUACUUUUACCCAGUGGAGUCUGACACCACGGUUGCAUCGUGUUUCUUCAAACCGUGUCCCAAUCCUCAUAAGAACUCACCCACAAAACUCACUGGAAACACACUUUCAUGCUAAUAAAUUACAGUGUAUGAGGAAUAUGUCACACAUAUGCACACGCACAAACUCCUCAGCCCUUCCUACGGCCUCCCAGGGCUCCUGCGUGUGCACUAAAGUAGUUUAUAGAAGCCUCCCUACAUGGACACAACUUCUGGAAUAGCAACUGCUACUUGAUCUGACUGCAAGCUCUCUCACCUCUCCACUUAUGUUUAACCCUCGUACACCUACUCUCUACAUGUAUGCAGAUACAGUGCACUGCACUAAUUAAUGCUAUUACUUUGACACAAUUCCCCUGGAAUAAACUUUUGGUUUGGCAAAGUUU